CAAACUUUUAAAUUUGUGAUGAGCCAUGAUCCAGCUUUGCUUGCAAAGACUGAGUUGCUCCUUUUAUAGCCAAACAUGAUACCCUCACCUAAUA